rnacentral:rRNA from 1 species
UACGUAGGGGGCAAGCGUUGUCCGGAAUCAUUGGGCGUAAAGCGCGUGUAGGCGGCUCGGGUAGUCUGGUGUGAAAUCUUUCGGCUCAACCGGAAGCGGUCACUGGAUACUCUCGGGCUUGAGUCCGGAAGAGGAGAGUGGAAUUCCUGGUGUAGCGGUGGAAUGCGCAGAUAUCAGGAGGAACACCAAUGGCGAAGGCAGCUCUCUGGGACGUGACUGACGCUGAGACGCGAAAGCGUGGGGAGCGAACAGG